CUCCACCUUGUAAUGCGAUGGUCAUCGGUUCGACUCCGAUAGCGGGCU
rnacentral:tRNA from 1 species